UUUUAUCCAACUCCUGCUCAUCUUUGGCUCCUAAAACACCUGUGUCCUUGCUUUCUUUUCUGCUCUCAGUGGCAUUGUCACCAGCUGAACUCCCAAGAAUUUCUCAGCAGACACUUAUUCUUUUUAUGUACCUUAUAUUGUUCUACUCUCUCAGUGGCCUUGUGUUCAUCUUUAUUGUUUCAAUUUCAAUAGCAAUGGCACAUGGUUUAAAUGUGUCUUUUGCUGGCUUUGGUAUUUUUUAAUUGCCUUUACCUAUCACGUUCCAUGCAUCAGCUAUGCAAAAUGCCUUCUGACCUCUAGGCAGCAAUUACUAAGCUUGGUCCUUGCAAAUCCCCUUGAAACAGCAGCCAGGCUUUCAGCCCAGCUUUUCCUUGCCUUCCUCUGACUUCCACAUCUUUACUAAAUUGCUGAACAGAGGCCAGUGCCUGUCACACUGAUCGAUACUGACUGCUUCAUAAACUCCGGCCGUCUGUAUUCAUCCAUCACUUUUUUGUGUUUAGAUUCUGGGUUACUUUGGGCAGGAAUGUUUAUGGAUAGCAAUGAACAUGGUGGGACCUUGGCCCAGGAUUUGUCUUCAUAGGUACUUCUUUGAUGGAAGAUUUAUAUAUAUACACACGUAGAAGUUGCCUUAGCUCUCUCCAGGGUCAGGACUACGACUGUUGGAGGUGGCAUUAUGUUCUGAAUUUGCCUCUUCCUCUCUGGAGUUCUGUUGCCACUUGUGAAGGAAGAAGGGUCAUAACAGAUUGUCAUGGGACCUACAUACAAAAAGCAGGGAUAUUACAAGGUCUGCAGGAGAAAAGGAUCUAAAAAAUACUCCUCACUGUUGAAUUCUAAUUAACAAAGCAAAUGGAUUUGGCAAAUCUACAGCUUAUGUUUCUGAGGAAGAGAUAACAAUUAUUAUGGGAUUAAAGGUGCAUCAUCCUGAUAUGGAAACCUACUUCAGAGGAUAUGAUGGAUCAAAAUAUAUUAUGCAGCCAUGGUUGAAAAAACUCUAUCCUCAUGACUGAGCACUUCAGUAUCUGUACAUGUAAUGUACAUCCAGACAACAGACGUCCUUUUUAAACUUGAGCAAACAGACACCAGGAUAAAAUGUAUAAUUUUUCCU